ensembl:lncRNA
AUUUUUUAUAAUAAUGGGUCAAAUUACCUGUGUAGUUUUUUGUUUGGUUUUUAUUUUGGUAAGCAGAAUAUGCAAUUGAAGGUAUGAGCCUUGAAAUAAAAUAUCUAAUCAGCUGAAUUUCUGAAAAUAUUAAAGGGAGUUCCCUGACCAAGAUCUUUUAGAAUAAAGCACCCUAUCUACAGGGAUUUUUUUUUCCUGACGUCAAAUAAGAUGAAACUGAUGUGUUUGAGAAUCUGUAAUCUGAGGCCUGUAACGUUUGUGGUUGUGCUUACUAUUUAUCUAAAAAAGUAGGUGAUGGAUUCUGAAUCCUGUAGCUUGAGUCAUGGAGCUCUGAAGUCUGUCAGUGAUAGAUCUAGACCGAAGAUAAAACUGCAAGUAAAGGUGAUUUGAGAAAUGUUUGACCUUAAUAUUUAGAAGAGUCCCUUGUCCAAGUUAGCAAUAAUAAGACUCAAAUAAGUCAGAAGUCUGUGAUUACUGUAAAUUGGUAGCUCUUAAUUGAAAGGGAAAAUUUAUUAAUACUCUAAGAAUUGCUUCUGAUAAUUUCUCACAUGUAUUUCUUAGCACCCUUCAAUUUGGGUCACCAGUCUCUUGCCCAACACCUGUUUAUUUGCAUGGCUCCUAGGAUGGUUUCCUCGGCUUUCCCCCUCCCACUGGCAGUGAUCUUAGUGUAAGCUUGGAAGCAAGGCCAGAUUCUUUAUGUGCUGCUUUCGUGGCUGGUUUCCUUACUGACCUGAGGAGCCUGCCAUCAAGUGCUUUGAAGGACUUCUUUUACUGCGCAGCAGCAGUAUCCUAGAAACCCGGGUCAGUGUUGCAGCUGUGUUUUGGUUGUAUUAACUACAUCAUAGCUCCUCUGUAUUGGUGUACAUAAUUGACACUUGGCUGUUUUGGUAUACUGUUGUUGAGAAGGAUGGGUGUUUUGUUAAUAAUCUCAUAAUACUAUAAAAGAAGUAAAUCACAGUGCUGUGGGGGUUCAGGGAAAGGAAAGACCACAUCCAGUCAGAGCAAGUUUCUCAAUAUUCUGGGCUCCUUGUUGUGGAGCUGUCCUGUGCAUUGUAGGAUGAUUAGCAGCAUCCCUGGCCUCUACCCACUAGAGGCCAGUAGCAUUCCCCUUGCCCCCCAGUUAUGAUGAACAGAAAUAUCUCCAGACAUUGUUAAAUGCCUCCUGGGGGCCAAAAUGUCUCCUGGCUAAGAACCACUGAGUUAGAGGAAUUGAGGAGCAGUACCAUUUGAAUCAGGCCUUGAAGAAUGGGUAGGAUUUGCAGGGAUGGGGGACGGGGAGAGGUGAUUCUAAAUAGAGGGAAUGCCAAAAACGAGCAAGAUAAUAGUCUAAAAUAUUCUGCUGAUUCCCUGAAAAGAGGGUGGGAAGUGCAGUGAAGUUAUCCCUGAAGUGUGACAGUUUGGUAAAUACCCUUUUGGCAAAUAGAAAUUUUUUAAAGAUUAUUUUUCAAGAAUUUCUUUAUCUUAGCCCAGUAUUGAUGAAAGUUACAAAAAAAACCAAAAAACAGGAGUGUAAAAGGUGUUCUUCACUGUGGUUUGAAGGUCUUCUGCAAGGUUUUACCCUGUGUCAAUCCGUGGAUUAUGGAACGGAUUCUCCCAACGAAAGUAAAUGGUGCAAAAGAGUGCCCAACACCAGGACUCAAACUGAGAGAACAAAGAUCAUUAUUUAUGUCAGCCUCAGUUCAUUAUAUGUCAGCCUGAAGAAAAAGGGAGAUUCUUGAUUCAAGACUAGCACAUCAUUUCACGUGGCCGUAGAGUGCCUGGGAUGUUAACAAAGGCUUCUGAAAGGCUGAACCAUCUAUGAAUGUCAUUUUAGUCUAGCUGGCCUUAGUAUUUCUAAAACACAAUGGAAUUGAUUAGCAUUUUCAGGAUUUUUCAAAAUAAAAAUGUGGGAUCCGAAUUGUUUCUAAUCUUUUUCUCCAGCUUUUAAUUAGAUAUGAUAUGCCAGGGACUCAGCAAAUGUGAGGGGAAAAUCAUGAAAAUUAAAUCACAUCGUGUACUUUAAUAUGCUGGCAUUUUCUUAUCCAAGUUAAAUAUUAAUCAUAUCAGUAAAACACUAGGGUGGAAUUCUGUUACAGAAGUUACAGUUUAGAUAGAUACUUCCUUUUUUUCCCUGCCCUAUUUUGUAUAUCACUUUAAGUGGGGAAAAUAGUUUAUUUUAAAUGCUCAUUUGUCAACUAGUUCACAUGCUGAGCCAAAAGGGAGCCAGCGGCCCUGAAUGGAGAGAAGAGCAUACUUUGAGGGGAGAGUGUACCACGAAGACCUGCAGUGGACCUGGGGUCAAAGGGCAGAACAGAGUUGCCUUGUCCCUUCUGUCCCCCUAAUUCUCCCAGACCGUCACUGACCCCACCAGGUUCGUGGUUUGGCACUGUUCAGAGUGGAUAGGUGCCUAGUUAGACCUGCUCUGGGUGUGGAGGUGUCUGGUGAUUAGAAUGACUCUUUGUAUAUCUGUUCUCUCUCUAAUUGCUUCCUUUUAACCUCAAGAUUAGGCUUUUAUUACAGAAUGAAAUGCAUAUGAGCCAUUCAGUUUUACUCCAUUACCUCUCUGGCUUAGAAUGAACCAUCAGUAGAAUUAACAAAAAUUGCAUCACAGAGUUGGAGAAUUGCCACUGAGGAAGUAUUCUAGCCAUACUACAGGAAAGAUUCUCCUUGUGGGAUUGCUUCUCAGUGGAAUUCUAAAAUCCAGAAGAUAAUAGCACUAAGAAAAACUUAAAUCCUGUCAGCCGUUGGAAAAACUUAUCAAAAACAUACUCCCAAAUUCCUUUGAUUAUCCACAGUCUUAGUAAUAUUGGAUUCAGAAAAAGCAAUUUAGGGUUGAGGGGAGCAGUACCCUACCUGGUCUUAAUUCAAAGCUAGCCCCUGGGGUCAGAUCAUUGGGCUCACAGGGCUGCUUAUUAUCGGUGGACACGGUCGUACUAUGUGAGAUUUCAGAAUGGAACUCAUCAUAUUAAUUUAAACUUAGAGAGAUUUUAGGUCUCGGACAUAAGAAAAAUAGCUUAUCCUUUCUACCCUGGGUUUACCAUAAACAUCUAGGGCGUGCGUUUUCCUUAAAGCAUGCUUCCACUUCCAUUCAAGGAUUCUAUGCCAUAAGGUCAGCUUUUGCUCUCUGUGUUUAAUGUUUGACAGGUGAGCACUUUUAGUAACCUAUUUCUCUCACUCUGCCCCCCAAUAGGCUUCAUGAGAAUUAUGCAAAUUAGAAUAGAGAAAAGAUAUUUCACAAAAAUGUAACCUCUAUCAACAGAAUUCUAGCCUAGUGAUUUGCUAAUGUAACUAAUAUUUUACUUGGAUAUGAAAAUGCCAAGUAAAAAGUGUGAAGGGAAAUUCAUUUUUGAAAAAGUUCCUUUGAUUAAAUCACCAGAAUAUUACAUCUAAAACUGGAAAAAAAUUAAAAUUGAUUAUGACUGCACAUUUAUAUUUGCUAAAAAGAAUGCUAGUAAGUACCAUUGUGUUUAGAAAUGGUAAAUCUAGCUAAGCAAAAGACAUUCAUAAACUGCUAAGCCUUUCAGGAGCCUUUGUUAACAUCCCAGGCAUUCUGCUGCCACAUGAAAUGAUGUGCUAGUCUUGAAUCCAGAAUCUCCCUUUUUUUUCACGCUGACAAAAAUAGUGAUCUUUGUUCUUUCGAUUCUGUGUUUGGUGCUCUUGUGUACCAAUUUACCCCACUUGGGAGAUCCUAUUUCAUAAUUUCCUGAGCAAAAGGUUUGGACUGUUGUUUGGGACUUUUUUUUGUACUCUUCCAUAACAAAAUCGAAUUAGAAAAAAGUCAGACCAUUUAAGCAAGAGUUUGAGCAGAAGCUUCUAGAGUUAAGAUUUGUUCGGUGUCUUGCUGGAAGCGUGAGAGUGAGGACAAGGAUCACUCGUGUUCUGUCUCACAAGCAGUGAGUUAGACUUUUGCAGUGUGUCUGGAUGUGAUAUCCUGGGAGUUAAAAAAUAUGAGUUUGACCAGCAGCCUUUAAAGCUUCUGGAAUGUUUUUUAAAUGAAUGAGAUGUUAGUACACUGAAAAUUUUUCUGUCACAGUGUGGAGCAAUAACAUUUACAUUUCGCAUUCUGUGAAAUUCAAAUCUGGGAGAGACUGUCCUUUUUGCUUAAUGCAAGCGUUUGCUUCAGGAUUUAUUACUUCAGAGAAUGAAAGUUUAUUACUCUGUUGAAAAGUAGCUGAUAUUAACACUUCAUUUGUUUAAUGAUAAAACUCAGAGGAAAUUUGCACAGAUGCUGCUUUGGAGAACUUUACAACCUGGGUUGCAGAACUGAGCCUUGGUAAACCUGUCUCUCUUACAGCAUGUUGCCAUACAUCUAAUUAAGUGCAUAAGGUCUUUGGCCUUCAAGCUCCAUCGACCUUAAACGGGAAUGCUUAGCACGUUUACCAUACGUUUAAAAUCUGUUCUUUAUCAAUCAGUCCUUUUGUAGCUUUCUAAGUUCUUAUUGAUGGCUAAUAUGCAAGAAUUAAUUUUUAAUAUUUUAAUUGAUUUCUUUAAUCAGUUUCUCAACUUGUAUUUAUUAAAUACUCAAACUCAGUAUUACCUACUCAAUGCCUUUUAAAAGAAAGUGAUAAUGGAGAAAAAAUUGAGCCUUAAACAAAUGGUUACUUCUGUAUAUUACCUCGCACCAGUGCUUCAUUCUAUUUGUAAAAUCUUUCUCCUUUAAAUGGUUGGUUAAUACUUUGAGACUUUGUUUACGUGUGGCAGUGUUGUAAAAAGAAACUAAAGAUCAUAAUUUACCUGUGUGGAUGGAAUAUCCCUUUUCUUCAAGUGUAGUUUGUGAUGUGUUUUUUGUAAUUAACAUGUUCUGAAAGUUACAAUUGAUAUUUCAAAUUGUAGCACGUUUAGCUGAAGAGUUAAGCGUUUGAUUCCAUUAGGUUUUCACAUGUGUUAAUCUCAUUUACGGCAUCAAAUUGCAGCAGUAACAUUUUCCUUUCUGUGAAGUUCUAAAUUUAGUUAUGACCUACUUAGCAAUGCCUUUGAAAAGGGAUAUUGUAUCCAUGGUAAAUUAAUUGUAUACCCAAACAGAGAUAGCUCAGCUUUGCCAGUCAGGCUUGUAAUUGACAUCUAGUAGACUUCUGCACAUGUAAAAUUGAAUUCAAAUAAAAUCAUAUACACUUUCUAGUUCUUAAUAUUUGUCUUUCUGAAUAAUAGUUUAAAGCAAUAUUUGUUAAAGUUUUCUUGCACUAUCACAAUUGCUUUUUAGUUAUUUCUCAAGAAGCAUGUUUGUAGUAGAGACAAAAAAUCUGUGUAACAGGAAGGAGGAUAGCGCCAAGUCUCUGGGCUUUUAUUUUUUGUUUUUGUUUUUGUUUGUUUUUCUUUUUCAAAUGUGCUUCUAAUAGCCAUUGCCUUCCAUGUUGUUUACCUAAUCAGCACAUUUUGUCUGAAUACUUGAACAUUUUAACAGUAACACAGGUAUAGAAACGGAAAGGAAACUUAUAAAGAGUAAUCUUUUGGUUCAGUUUUAACAUCAUGACAAUGAGCGCUUUUUCUAGCAAUGAUUUUUAAAUUUUGUAAAUUUGACAGUAUUUUGUUGUUGGUUUUUUAUUUGGUUAGUCGCCUGCUUUUAAUUUGCAGAAGUUAGUAACUGCAGCUCACCUACUGCACCAAAGUUCUCGAUUUUAGGAGCCCAGCUUUAGUCAUUUGAACAUGCUUCUAAAUAAAACAAAACGAAAAACCAAAACUAUACUUUUAAUCUACAAUAAUAGCUCAAUAACUUUGUCAAGGAAAGCUCUAAUAUAUGCAGUGAUGGUUUAUGGAAGGGUGUGGCAAUUUUAAAUUUAUAUUGUGUGUGAUGUUCAAAUAAAGUGAUAUCUACAUUCAUGUGAUUUAUUGGUCAGCAUGACCAUUAAUUAUUGUGUAGAAAUUGGUUAAACUUUGAUUUCCUUUUUUUAAAUCGUGUUGCAUUUGAUUCCUGAUCAAAUUCCCUCAAAGUGAACUCUUGAUCUUAGAUUUUGAAUUUUGUGGUGAGAUUGUAAGGGUGGAGGCAAUUGAAACAUUGUUCCUUAUUUAUAAACUGCUUGAAAUGAAUACUUAAGUUUGCACUUUAAUACCAAACUUAAAACCAAACACUCACUUCAAAGUCGGUUAAGUGAUCAUGGUUCAUCAUUAUCAGCUGUGUGAAAUUUUAAAGGAAUCAAAUAAUUCAUGAUGAUUUAAAUUUUCUGCAGAUACAUUUUUUUAUACAGUGUUUCUUUCUUACCGACAGUUCUCAUUCUCUCUCUCUGUCUCUCUCUCUGUCUCUCUGUCACUGACCUCAGCACCAAAUUUAACUUGAAUUCACUUAGGAUCACAGGAAUCAGGGGAAAGUGAUUAAAGGUGGUUUCUCCAGCACAUUUUAAGAAAAGGGACCAAAAGUUAUUUUAGCUUCCACAAUAGAUUGCAUGUCAAGUUGCUUAUUAGGAUAAUAAAUUAAUAUUAAAUGCAAUAUAUGUCUUGUCUUUACUAUGGCAUCUGUUUAGGAGUUGUUCAAAUCACUGCAGUAGGGCUCUGCAAAUAAAAUCAUGUAACCUAUUAUCAUGGAUCUAAUGUACUGUAACUUUAUCAAUGAAAGGUAAAAAAUCUCGAAUAACAAGUACAAACAUUGAACAAUGACCUAUAAAGAUUUGUAAAAGUAAAAUUUUUCCAAUAGAUUUCAUUCUUGUCAUUUUGUAAGACGAUCCUGCAGUCCACCUGUUUGUAACUUUUUUAAUAAAAUAGACAUCUGUAUUA